rnacentral:rRNA from 1 species
GAUGAACGCUAGCGGCAGGCUUAAUACAUGCAAGUCGAGGGGCAGCAUGGUGUAGCAAUACACUGAUGGCGACCGGCAAACGGGUGCGGAACACGUACGCAACCUACCCAAAACUGGUGAAUAGCCCUCCGAAAGGAGGAUUAAUACACCGUAACUUAAUGAAGUGGCAUCACUUUAUUAAUAUAGCUCCGGCGGUUUUGGAUGGGCGUGCGCCUGAUUAGGUAGUUGGUGUGGGUAAUGGCCCACCAAGCCUACGAUCAGUAACUGGUGUGAGAGCACGACCAGUCACACGGGCACUGAGACACGGGCCCGACUCCUACGGGAGGCAGCAGUAAGGAAUAUUGGUCAAUGGACGCAAGUCUGAACCAGCCAUGCCGCGUGAAGGAUGAAGGUCCUCUGGAUUGUAAACUUCUUUUAUAUGGGACGAAACCUCUUAUUCUUAAGAGACUGACGGUACCAUAGGAAUAAGCACCGGCUAACUCCGUGCCAGCAGCCGCCGUAAGAC